rnacentral:lncRNA from 1 species
UAUCUUCUUAGUCGCUGCUCUCCAAUCGUACUUUUCCAUUUCUUGACGUGCAGCUUUGCCAAUGGUUUCUCUCAUCUCCUUAUUCUGUAACAAUGGCUCCAGUUUGCUCAAGCAAUCAUCAAGAUCUCCAGGGUUAAAGAGAAAACCGGUUUUGCCUUCCUGGUCUGCCGGAAUUAUAUCAGGGAUCCCCCCUGCACGAGCACCCACCACUGGGAUUCCUGAAGACAUAGCCUCCAAAACAACAAGUCCAAGUGUCUCGGAUUCUGAGGGCAUGACAAAUACGUCCCCACUUGCAUAUGCUUGAGAGAGCUCUUCGCCUUGUAACGUUCCG